rnacentral:rRNA from 1 species
UAAUUUGAUAAUCCGCAAAAAACCUUACCACAGCUUGAAUAUUUAUAUUUUGAUAUAUUUACAUGCGUUGCACGGCUGUCUUCAGUUAAUGUCGUGAGACUUUGGUUAGAUCCAUUAAAUUAACGUAAGCCCUUACUUUAUUUACAAAUAAAGUAGUUCCCCACUAUAUUGGAUAUGAUAACAGGGACUAAGACAAGUCAUCAUGGCCUUAAUGCUGU